rnacentral:rRNA from 1 species
GAUGAACGCUGGCGGCGUGCUUAACACAUGCAAGUCGAACGGAAAGGCUCCUGCUUGCAGGGGUACUCGAGUGGCGAACGGGUGAGUAACACGUGGGUGAUCUGCCCUGCACUUCGGGAUAAGCCUGGGAAACUGGGUCUAAUACCGGAUAGGACCACAUCUUGGAUGGUGUGGUGGAAAGUUUUUCGGUGUGGGAUGAGCUCGCGGCCUAUCAGCUUGUUGGUGGGGUAAUGGCCUACCAAGGCGUCGACGGGUAGCCGGCCUGAGAGGGUGUACGGCCACAUUGGGACUGAGAUACGGCCCAGACUCCUACGGGAGGCAGCAGUGGGGAAUAUUGCACAAUGGGCGCAAGCCUGAUGCAGCGACGCCGCGUGGGGGAUGACGGCCUUCGGGUUGUAAACUCCUUUCGCUAGGGACGAAGCGUUUUUGUGACGGUACCUGGAGAAGAAGCACCGGCUAACUACGUG